CAAAAUGGACGCACCAAGAAUAAGGCUCAGACGUCUCAUGCCUUCUUCUCCAACAAGUUCAAGAUAUUACUGAGUUCUCAAUGACACACCUCUGCAGAAGUUGAUGCGAGGGUUGUCAUCUCCACAGAGAUCUUCUCAUCAACCAAGUAGAUGUCAUGAGACCUGCAGUUGAUGAGCUUCCUAACAAUGUACAACGAGUCUGAUAAAUGAACUGCUCUCUCCUUGAUAAAAGCUACACUGUGGUAAAGCUUAUGAAAUGAGACCCAUGAACAAAGAAGACAGUUGGACAUCAACUUGGCACAAGAGAAGGCUCUUCAAGUGAAGGACGCAGUGAUGGUUGCCAUCUCCGAAGGGAUCCACUCAUCAGCAACAAGAUGUCUGACCUUCAUAGCUUCCUGAAAACACAAUGAGUCUGGUAUCUGCAAGAACUCAUCUCUCCUUUACAUACAAGUUAGUGAAGCUUGUGAAGGUUCAUUAAUCAACAAAGUGGAUGUAUGUGCACUUGGGACGCUGAUGCUGGACCGGGAUGCAUGGACGGUGACCAUCAGAGUUUCCUGAGAAGGCGUCGGCUGAAGACAUCCUCUCACUCAACAUGCCCUGGACAUUAGUAUGACAUGUUAGACACCUCUUGAAAUAUGAAGUUAGUGAAGCUUGUGAAGGUUCAUUGAUUAACAAAGUGGAUGUAUGUGCCUUUAGGACGCUGAUGCUGGACUGGAUUGGAGUUUUCCGAGAAGACGUCGGCUGAAGACAUACUCUUGCUCAACUGACAGUGCCCUGGACUUCAUUAUGACAUGUUAGACACCUCUUAAAAUAUGAAGUUAGUGAAGCUUUGUGGCUCAUUGGUAGGACACUGAUGCUGGACCGGGAUGCGUGCAAGACGACUACCAGAGUUUCCUGAGAAGGCGUCGGCUGAAGACAUCCUCUCACUCAACUGACCGUGCCCUGGACAUCAGUAUGACAUGUUAGACACCUCUUGAAAUAUGAAGUGAGGGUUGCCAUCUCCAAAGGGAUCCAAUCAUCAGCAACUAGAUGUCUGACCAUCAGAGCUUGCCUGAAAGCACAUUGAGUCCGUAUCUGCAAGAUCUCAUCUCUCCAUUAACAGAAAUCUUAUCAAUGAGAUUCAUCACUACCAAGUGGAUGUCUGUCGCUGGAUGUCAACCUAGCAUAUGAGAUGGCUCUUCACAUAGAAGGUUUCCCACUUCAAGAUGAAAUCCACCACGGAAAAGAUUGACUUUGGGAUCUUUCACCUAUUUAGAUUUGUACAGGGUUUACAACCGAGGUAUGUGGUUUUUCUACUAACAUCAAAAAGUGGGCUGUGUUUGCAGCACUUAUACAAUCUACAGCCCGACGCCACAUGCCACAACAUUUUGGGGACUUCAUGCUGGCAUCAGCCUAACCCAAAUGAAUGGUUUUCCCUACAGAUUGAUUACACUCUAGAAACAUUAAAAACAUGUUAGAUUAACCUUUACCCCUAAUGGUUAUAAUUCUAACACAACCUUAGCUGUCCCAGGCCCAUUAGGUGUUUGUUCCAGAGAGUGUGAUGAUUACUCAAAGCUUAGUUGUAUGUGUAGUAGAACAUAAUUGAAUGCAUAAUAAUACAUCUCUCAAAAACCAUUGAAUAGUGUAGAUUUUUUAUAAUUUCCUAAUGCCUUUUCUAAAAAAGUAUGUUAAUUAUGUUAUUAUCUUAUAAUUUGAAAUAGUUGCUUUAACUUUCUUAAAAAGUGAAUCCUGUGAAGAAUUGGACAAGUUCCUCAAUUUGUCAAGUCUUUCCAUCACCCAAAUCAGUUUGGAUAACUCGCAUUCCUAGGCAAAAUGUCCUUGUCAAAUUUGUAAUGAAGUAAUGUUACAAAGCAAGUUAGCAUUGCAAGUUUAUAAAUUAAAAGCAAAAAAAAAGAACAAUUCUGGUAGCCUUAUUGUAGUUUCAAUUUUAUCAGGAAAGUUGAUAACUUAAUGGUGUGAUGUAUUUAGUCACCUCCUGCCUUAGCUGGUUUAGGGUUACGUAACAGAGUUGCAAUGAUUUUGUAAAAAGUAAGUGCACCAAUAGACCGAUCCAUUAAGCUCCGCCCCAUUGCUUAUUGACCAAUCACAACCCAUUGCACAACUAAAAGUCUGACACUAUAAAGUCUGACAUGCGUGCGCACAUGCUUGGUGCGCGCGACAGAUUUGUGCAGAAUGGCAUUGGAGAGGCACAUGUGUUCUUGCUCACAUGUGCGCUGUGGGCGGAGCCUGAGGGAUUGGUGAAUUGCAAGCAAGUCACAAUAUGUCUAUUUUAGGGAAUUUAUUGGCCUCGCUUGGACAAACCUUGCCAGGAUAUUGCUUGAAAGGUGCACUUAUUUUAGCCCACAAAAAGGAGUAUUAAUAGUUAACUUUUUGAGGAAAAAAAUGUUUGUCAAAGAUUAGAUCUUCUUUUUUAUUGGCUUUUUAGAAGCUUUGACUAGGUUAAACAAAAAAUUGGUUGUCAACUUUAACCUUCAACUGAACAUUGUUGCAAAGGGGGGUAUUGUGAACAGGAAUGUUCGAGACGGUGACAUAAAAGUCUCAAAGUAGCUCCUUGGGUAAAUAUUUUACCUUUUUCAUAAUUUUGAAUGCCAAGAAGUCCGAUAAGGUUUGCAGUAUUACCCUGAACAUGAAAUCUGAGCUUUGGCGGUGCCAAAAAAGCAGCCUGUUUCAUUUUAAUGCAUUUAUGUUAAAGGCACUGGACACUAUUGGUAAUUACUAAAAAUAAUUAUUCGCAUAAAACCUUACUUGGUAAUGA